AAUAAUCAAUGAAAAAGGAAUGAAGAGGUUUAUCCAUGCAAGCUUCAAACCAAAGCCAAGGAUGUCGAUCCUUCCAGGGGAGUCCAAAGUUCUCCCUUAUUUUUCUCCCUUUAUUUUGAUUUUCAAAAGUUUGCAAUUUUUUAAGUGGGGGUGGGCAAUUGCUUGCAUGUUUAGUCUAAACUUGGAGGUUCAAAUUUUGCCCAAAUUUCAAAAUUUCUAAAAAAAAUUUCCUUACAAUAAUGAGCACUAUACCUUCUUAGAUUACUUAGAUCUUGCAUAAAAAGCAUGACUAGCAACCCUUGAUCACUGAGCUUGGGUUUGUGAUGUAAAAUUCUGAUUGUUGAUGAGUAUAUGUGCUGAAAUUUGAGAAUAAGCUGCCGUGUUUUUUGGUUUAAGCCCAUUUUUAGCGAUAUCUUAUGGAGAUGGGAAUGCAUGAUUGAGAAAAUGGUAUGUGUGUUGUGAAUGCUUGAUUGCAUGCAUAUAAUAAAUAAGUGCAUGGAUACUUUUCUAGCUUUGUCUUCCUUUGUUUCUUUGCCAUGACUUACCUAUGAUGCGCUUAGUCCAAACCUAGCCUAGAUAGAGUUAAAAAAGGAUAGGAGGUACUCUUUAGAAAUUGAGAUGGUUUUAACAAAUUUGUCUUGUCAAACAUGAGUUUGGAGCCUCUUGUCUAGCCACAAUGAACUAAAUCCCUUUAGAAAGGGUGGGCAUUAACAAAUCUUGUUGUCACUUCGAAGGGAGCAGUCAAACUUAGAAACUAAGUGUAGAACCAUAGAAAGGUUACCCCAUCGGUUAUUGUGUGCGUACCAAAGAAAGAAAAGAGAGACUUGCAAAUGUAAAACUUAAGACAGCGAGACAAUUAAGAGUUAAAAAAAACAAAGAACAUAUGCAUUAUACAUCAGAAAAAUCCCAUAAAAAAAUGAAGGGAAACUUCACUUUUGGCCUAACCAAAAGCAGACCACCUACUCUUAGCGUUCUAGACAUAGCAUUGAGUUUGAUGAGGGCUUUGAAAAGAGGAGGAAUCCUCCCCGUUCCACACUAGGGGAAAAACGAGACUUGUCACUCCGAAGGGAGCAGUCAAACUUAGCAUUGAGUUCAAGGUAUCCUUCUUAGAUUCUUGAAUCAUGACUACAUUAGGACUACAAUGAGCACCAUUGUUAUGGAUCAAAAUAAAGUUCCAAAUGUUCAUCCAAUCGUGCCAUCAAAUGUGUCAGAAGGAAAUAUUCAUGUUAGCAUUGGAAAGACGUCAAUAGCAGUGGAAAGAAUUGAAGAAAAAAGUGAAACAAAAGUGAAUGGAGACAGGAAAAUGAAAUUAUCCCAGAAAAGCCAACAAUGUGUAGCAAAUGGUACAAACAAGAGUUGAGAAAAGAUGGGGCAUGAUUUCAUGGUUUCAAAUGGGAAGUCAUCAUGUGUAUUUUAAGGGGAAAAUAUUUUGUUUUUCUAGUUCCUUUCCAGAAGAUCGGGUAUGUUGUAAAGAUUCUUUCCUCUUAUUUCAAACAGCAUGAUUAAUGUACACUAUGCACUUUAGGUUUUAGAUGUAUUAUUGUGGUAAAUAGCAUCCAUUUUUUAAAAAAAUAACAAAGUAGAAGCCCUGUAUUCAAUAUCAGUUGACUUGAGUAAAGAGUAGUUCAUUACUGCUCCAACUCCAUGAUUUUAAAAGCAAGUCAAUGGUGCAGAUAGGAUUCUAGAUCUACCGUUUCUUUAACACUCCGAUCCUGUUAAGAGAAUGAUAUAAAAAAAAUGGAAAAAUUACCUUUUUAGUCCCCAAUUUUAUAGAAAUAGGUUUAUUGGUCCUUGAGUUUUCAAAAUGUACUCUUUUAAUCCUUGAGUGCUUAAUGUUAUACUGGAGACUCUCAAAACCAAUUUUUUAGAAGAAGUUAUUCUAC
rnacentral:lncRNA from 1 species